UACAGAGGGUGCAAACGUUGUUCGGAUUUACUGGGCGUAAAGCGCGUGUAGGCGGCUUUGCAAGUCGGAUGUGAAAUCCCACGGCUCAACCGUGGAAGUGCAUCCGAAACGGCAUGGCUGGAGUCCCGGAGAGGAAGGUGGAAUGCUUGGUGUAGAGGUGAAAUUCGUAGAUAUCAAGCAGAACACCUGCGGCGAAGGCGGCCUUCUGGACGGUGACUGACGCUGAGACGCGAAAGCGUGGGGAGCAAACAGG
rnacentral:rRNA from 1 species